rnacentral:rRNA from 1 species
CCAAUAGCGUAUAUUAAAGUUGUUGCAGUUAAAAAGCUCGUAGUUGAAUUUCGGGGUCAGUAGGCUGGUCGUGCCACGGGUAUGUACUGGUCUCACUGAUUCCUCCUUCCUGAUGAACCGUAAUGCCAUUAAUUUGGUGUUGCGGGGAAACUGGACUGUUACUUUGAAAAAAUUAGAGUGUUUAAAGCAGGCUAACGCUUGAAUACAUUAGCAUGGAAUAAUGAAAUAGGACGUUCGAUCCUAUUUUGUUGGUUUCUAGGAUUGACGUAAUGAUUAAUAGGGAUAGUUGGGAGCAUUAGUAUUCAAUUGUCAGAGGUGAAAUUCUUGGAUUUAUUGAAGACUAACUACUGCGAAAGCAUUUGCCAAGGAUGUUUUCAUUAAUCAAGAACGAAAGUUAGGGGAUCGAAGACGAUCAGAUACCGUCGUAGUCUUAACCAUAAACUAUGCCGACUAGGGAUCGGAUGAUGUUAAUUCUUUAAUGACUCAUUCGGCGCCUUACG